GUGUCUGUUGGCUGCAUAAAUGUCUUCUUUUGAGAAGUGUCUGUUCAUAUCCUUCACCCACUUGUUGAUGGGGUUCCUUUUUUCUUGUAAAUUUGUUUGAGUUCUUUGUAGAUUCUGGAUAUUAGCCCUUUGUCAGAUGAGUAGAUUGCAAAAAUUUUCUCCCAUUCUGUAGGUUGCCUGUUCAGUCUGAUGGUAGUUUCUUUUGCUGUGUUUUCAGUCUUCAGAUACCCCAGCAAAGAACAGAAGCUCUUUAGUUUAAUUAGAUCCCAUUUGUCAAUUUUGGCUUUUGUUGCCAUUGCUUU
rnacentral:lncRNA from 10 species